UACAGAGGUCUCAAGCGUUGUUCGGAUUCAUUGGGCGUAAAGGGUGCGUAGGCGGCGCGGUAAGUCGGGUGUGAAAUCUCGGAGCUUAACUCCGAAACUGCAUUCGAUACUGCCGUGCUUGAGGACUGGAGAGGAGACUGGAAUUCUCGGUGUAGCGGUGAAAUGCGUAGAUAUCGAGAGGAACACCUGCGGCGAAGGCGGGUUGCUGGGCUGACACUGACGCUGAGGCGCGAAAGCUAGGGGAGCGAACAGG
rnacentral:rRNA from 1 species